UACGUAGGGAGCAAGCGUUGUCCGGAAUCAUUGGGCGUAAAGCGCGCGUAGGCGGCCCGAUAAGUCCGUUGUGAAAGUCAAAGGCUCAACCUUUGAAUGCCGAUGGAUACUGUCGGGCUAGAGUCCGGAAGAGGCGAGUGGAAUUCCUGGUGUAGCGGUGGAAUGCGCAGAUAUCAGGAGGAACACCAAUAGCGAAGGCAGCUCGCUGGGACGGUACUGACGCUCAUGUGCGAAAGCGUGGGGAGCAAACAGG
rnacentral:rRNA from 1 species